ACAAGCCUCAGCCUUCCAGUCUCCUGCAAGCACUCUCUGCUCUGUGGCACGGGGACUUUCCCUGCAGCAUCUUUGGGAGUGGCCUCCCUGUUUGGUCACUGCAAAGCCAUGCUUCCCCUGCCCUCCAAGGUUGCGACAUGUGUUGAUCAUACCUCCCUCCAUUGUCUCAUCCUCACACAGCACGC
rnacentral:RNase_MRP_RNA from 1 species